rnacentral:rRNA from 1 species
AUUGAACGCUGGCGGCAGGCCUAACACAUGCAAGUCGAGCGGAGCGGCGGAGGGGUGCGUAAUGCCUAGGAAUCUGCCUGGUCGUGGGGGAUAAGGUCCGCUACCGGGCGCGAAUACUGCAAACUAUCGGAUGAGCCUAGUUCGGAUUAGCUAGGUGGUGGGGUAAGGGCCUACCAAGGCGACGACCCGUAACUGGUCUGAGAGGAUGAUCAGCCACACUGGAACUGAGACACGGCCCAGACUCCUACGGGAGGCAGCAGUGGGGAAUUUUGGGCAAUGGGCGAAAGCCUGAUCCAGCCAUGCCGCGUGUGUGAAGAAGGUCUUCGGAUUGUAAAGCACUGUUAUUAGGGAAGCGUUACCUACAGAGUAAGCACCGGCUAACUUCGUGCCAGCAGCCGCGGUAAUAC